rnacentral:rRNA from 1 species
AUUGAACGCUGGUGGCAUGCUUUACACAUGCAAGUCGAACGGCAGCGCGGGCUUCGGCCUGGCGGCGAGUGGCGAACGGGUGAGUAAUACAUCGGAACGUGCCCAGUAGUGGGGGAUAGCUCGGCGAAAGCCGGAUUAAUACCGCAUACGACCUGAGGGUGAAAGCGGGGGAUCUUCGGACCUCGCGCUAUUGGAGCGGCCGAUGGCAGAUUAGCUAGUUGGUGGGGUAAAGGCCUACCAAGGCGACGAUCUGUAGCUGGUCUGAGAGGACGACCAGCCACACUGGGACUGAGACACGGCCCAGACUCCUACGGGAGGCAGCAGUGGGGAAUUGUGGACAAUGGGCGAAAGCCUGAUCCAGCAAUGCCGCGUGUGAUGAAGGCCUUCGGGUUGUAAAGCACUUUUGGCGGGAACGAAAAGGACUGUGCCAAUACCACGGUUCGAUGACGGUACCCGCAGAAUAAGCACCGGCUAACUACGUG